UCGAAACUUCGUCAUGCAACAGGCUAACCAUUUUAUGACGAGAUUCGCGAAAAAUUUCUAUUCUAGACAGAGUCUUCAUGCUAACCAUACAAUGUGUAUACUUUGGGGGCUAACACUACACAAUCUCGAAACUUAAACUUAUGUUUUUUCCCCCUCAAAUUUCGGGUAUAAAGCUUCACUUCAACAAAGUCUCCCAAAAUCAUUACAUGAUGAAUAUAUAUGACAAAUAUAUAAAAGGACAAAAAUUAAACAAGAUAAUAAAAAAAACACAAGAAAAAAUAUAAAUAAAAUUAACACAUAUCACAAAACUA
rnacentral:lncRNA from 1 species